GUGUCAGCCGCCGCGGUAAUACGAAGGGGGCUAGCGUUGUUCGGAAUUACUGGGCGUAAAGCGCGCGCAGGCGGCUUCUCAAGUCAGGGGUGAAAGCCCAGAGCUCAACUCUGGAACUGCCCUUGAAACUGUGGAGCUUGAGUACGGUAGAGGUGAGUGGAAUUCCCAGUGUAGAGGUGAAAUUCGUAGAUAUUGGGAAGAACACCGGUGGCGAAGGCGGCUCACUGGACCGUUACUGACGCUCAGGCGCGACAGCGUGGGGAUCAAACAGGAUUAGAUACCCUGGUAGUCC
rnacentral:rRNA from 1 species